UACGUAGGGGGCGAGCGUUGUCCGAAUUUAUUGGGCGUAAAGCGCGUGUAGGCGGCUCUUUAAGUCAGAUGUGAAAUCUUGCGGCUCAACUGCAAAACUGCAUUUGAUACUGGAGGGCUUGAGUUUGGGAGAGGAAAGUGGAAUUCCUGGUGUAGCGGUGAAAUGCGUAGAUAUCAGGAGGAACACCCGUGGCGAAGGCGGCUUUCUGGCCUUAUACUGACGCUGAGACGCGAAAGCUAGGGGAG
rnacentral:rRNA from 1 species